CUCAAAUGAAGAUUGUGUUUCUAACUAAGUUCGGUUGGAAGCUUAGUUGCAAUAGCGAAUUCGGUAUAAACCGUUAAACGUGAUCUACAAAGGAAUAUAUGACGAGUUUCAAUCCUACAAAAAGAAGGAAGAGAAGUUCUUAAUCCAUAUUUAAUGUUAGCAAGAAUUAUACCAAAAUGCUGUGAUGGAAUGGGCACCAUACAGAGAGCAGUUUAAGUAUGUAAUAGAAAAUAAGUAUAGAUUAUCGUGUUGACAACAAAUUGAUGCCUUCAAAUAUCAGCCGCGAUUGACAAUGUGAACACUAUGUCAAUCUACUGAUAUUUGAAAAAAUAUUCAUGCGUUGAAAAUCCACUCGAAGGAGAAGAAUUGAAGAAUAAAAUAAAGAAAUAAAUAGGUCACAUCGGUAAAAUACAAGAUAGACAACACCAAUCAAAGGAAAUCUUUCCUAGAAGGCAUGUAAACACAAUUGAGAGAAACGUUGUUAAUGAAACAAAUAAUUCAUAUCAUCGUUAUUUAUUCAUCAGACAAAAUCGUGCAUUAUAUAGAGAAUAUCAUAUGGCUUUUUCAAUAUCGCAUCCGUAUCAACCCGAG
rnacentral:lncRNA from 1 species